GACGAACGCUGGCGGCGUGCCUAACACAUGCAAGUCGAACGGAACUGCUUCGAAGGAUUUCUUCGGAAUGACAUUGAUUCAGUUUAGUGGCGGACGGGUGAGUAACGCGUGAGUAACCUGCCUUCAAGAGGGGGAUAACAUUCUGAAAAGAAUGCUAAUACCGCAUGACAUAUGAUUGUCGCAUGGCAGACAUAUCAAAGAUUUAUCGCUUGAAGAUGGACUCGCGUCCGAUUAGUUAGUUGGUGAGGUAACGGCCCACCAAGACCGCGAUCGGUAGCCGGACUGAGAGGUUGAACGGCCACAUUGGGACUGAGACACGGCCCAG
rnacentral:rRNA from 1 species